rnacentral:rRNA from 1 species
AAACCAGGUGAUCUACCCUUGGUCAGGUUGAAGUUCAGGUAACACUGAAUGGAGGACCGAACCGACUUACGUUGAAAAGUGAGCGGAUGAACUGAGGGUAGCGGAGAAAUUCCAAUCGAACCUGGAGAUAGCUGGUUCUCUCCGAAAUAGCUUUAGGGCUAGCCUCAAGUGAUGAUUAUUGGAGGUAGAGCACUGUUUGGACGAGGGGCCCCUCUCGGGUUACCGAAUUCAGACAAACUCCGAAUGCCAAUUAAUUUAACUUGGGAGUCAGAACAUGGGUGAUAAGGUCCGUGUUCGAAAGGGAAACAGCCCAGACCACCAGCUAAGGUCCCAAAAUAUAU